GUGCUUGCUUUGGCAGAACAUAUACUAAAAUUGGAACAACACAGAGAACAUUAGCAUGGCCCCCACACAAGGAUUACAUGCAAGUUCCUGAAGCGUUCCAUAUUUUC
ensembl:snRNA U6 U6 spliceosomal RNA